rnacentral:rRNA from 1 species
UACGUAGGGUGCGAGCGUUAAUCGGAAUUACUGGGCGUAAAGCGUGCGCAGGCGGUUGUGCAAGUCAGAUGUGAAAUCCCCGGGCUCAACCUGGGAACUGCAUUUGUGACUGCACGGCUAGAGUGUGUCAGAGGGGGGUAGAAUUCCACGUGUAGCAGUGAAAUGCGUAGAUAUGUGGAGGAAUACCGAUGGCGAAGGCAGCCCCCUGGGAUGACACUGACGCUCAUGCACGAAAGCGUGGGGAGCAAACAGG